rnacentral:pre_miRNA from 1 species
AAUAAGAUUAUUUUUUAGUUUUUUGAUACAAUGUUUUAACUCUUCGUCUUAUUUGAAUUUUUUUUAUGUUUAAUAUUUUUAUUCUUACUGGAUGAUGAAACAUGAAUAGUAUUUUAUGCGUGACUAAUUUUUUAAAGUUUUUGUGCAAAUUUUUCAAAUAAGAUGAAUGGUCAAAUGUUAGACACUGAAAAACA